rnacentral:misc_RNA from 1 species
GAAGUGCGAUAAGCAAUGCGAAUUGCAGAAUUCCGCGAAUCAUCAGAUCUUUGAACGCAAGUGGCGCUGGAGGGAUAUCCUUCCAGCAUGUCUGUUUCAGUGUCUGAGAGGUUUCAACUAAAUCUUAAUGUGAUUGAAGGACUUAUUUUAGGGAGGCUUCAAACACCACCCAAAAGCAACAACUUCUCUCAUGAAAGAUGCGUGAGUGGAUCUUUCGGUCCAAUGAAGUGGUCACAUCACUCGAAUGUGAUUUCAUUGGAAAUCACCGAAUUAUUCGUAUACUCACAGUAACAAAAACUUUCUCCAUACCCUGCAUCUGAGAUAGGCAAGAUCACCCGCUGAACUUAA